ensembl:lncRNA
CAACCACUCCACCUGGGAGGGUGUGGCAGCUUUUCACCCAACAAAUGGGUGGCCCUGCUGCUCAGGUGCUUGUGUCUUAUUGGUCGGCGUAGGCCUCUAAAAGCAACAAUACCUGAAUCAGGCAGCAAGAUAAGACAGAGAGAAGACAGAUAGCCAUGGUGUCCGCUGUGGCUGCAGUCCCUGGUGAGGACAGCUCCAAGCUAUCUCCUUGUUUCAGUUUCAUUGCAUUCACAGAAUCACUGGGGAACUAAAGAGGCAACAAAGUUGCAGAUGACAUUGGUGCCCAUCAGCUGAAGCGCUUGGUGGAGUUGCUGACGUCCAAGGAGUGCGAGGACCUUCUGUCCGUCCUCUCCCGCCCCGAGGAAAACAUCUUUCAGCGCGUUGAGCGUCUCUCCCCGGAAACGAAUCAGCUAGAACCUCGAGCCUCGAAACCGCGAGCCAAGAGAGAAGCCUCAACCGCUGCAGAAGUGGGGAAGAACAUCAACCAGGACAAAGUCCUGAAGAUUAAACGCUACGUUGAAGAUUACCACGAAUAUGUGAAGUCUUUAAACAUCCCGCUGGAACAACCAGCCUCAGAUGACCGACAGCAUGACGCCCACACGGUCAGAAAAAGAAGAGUAAGGCACCUGACAUCCCGUGACCUGGAUCUGGUUGUGGAGCGGUCUCCUGUACCCGUGUACCAGAAGGGAAUUUCGGUUGUAGCUCUGCCCCUUUUGUGGGGCAUCCUGCUGGGCUUCGGAGGGACCUUGAUUUUUGGAACCUCUAUAGUUCUCGCCGUCGUGCACAUCUGGCAUGGAAACCAGCAGAUCCGUCAACCCAGGGACCUGCAGGACGUUUUCUGCAGGACUUGCAGAACAUGCAGGUCCUUGCAGGUGGUAGGCUGCGAUGUAAGCAGCUUAGAGGGUUUAAUGGAAUGAGGAAUACUUGAUGAACUGUUAAGUAAAGGAAAAAAAUACUUAUAUUUCUUUGUGAGGCGUCUCUUUCAUGCUUUCAUGGCUCUUGUUUUCCGACAAUGGAGCAAAAAACCUAAUAUCGAUUCCACCGCACAACUACUAAUUACGACAAACAAGACAAAUAAUUCCAUUUCAUAUGAAGUAAUUAUCCCUGCUGUGUAUUCCUACACUGCUAAGCAUUAUUGCCUUGCCAGUGGGUAGAUGACUAGUGUGACAGAUGCGCUGGAACCCGGCCCUCACACCAAAGGUUGUUCCGGUGUUACUGUGAUAGUGAUGCCACUUUCCAUUUCCCCUGCAAGUGACGGCAACGUGCCCGUCUGGCAUCGAAGAACAACUAAUUAUCCAGCCUGGCUUCUGCUUCCCCCGGAGCCUGCCGAUACCUCCGCAGGCAAUCCAAAAGACUAAUAACAAUGACAAUGCUCGCAGACAACAGAGCAGUCUUGGCGAUGUGAUGGCAGCUGCUGGCAGGUGACAGAAGCCAAGUAUAAAAAUAAAAAAACACAGGGCGAUGCUUUGUUGUUCAACAUGCGAAGAAGGGAGAUGAAAUAAGUUGAUGUGUGAAAUGCCGAAUGCGAGGUAGGUGACCUGGGAC